rnacentral:rRNA from 1 species
GCCGUCGCGCCCCCGUUGGGACCGCCGCUCGCCGCCUGCCCACUCCUUACGCAGCCUUAGACGGAGAAACACCCCCUAUUGCAUCCCUUUGAAUGCGAUUAUGGCGUAUGCUGGAUGCCCACUUUCACCCCCUGGAAGCCCGGAGUGCGUCUCUCUACUCGGCUGCGGCCUAAUCGAUCAACCGCCCCAUUUCCGGGUGGUUCCGCUGCUAGGCAUCGACCAGACUCUCCUACUAGUCGGUGUGACCUUGACUCUGUGCCAGGUCUGAGGAUGCCCUCCGUCGUCACCCCUUAUAACCUGUUACCCGCGUUCGGACUAGGUCGGUACGGCGCACACACUUCUUCCGGAAGCCCAACAUUUCGUGAAAACAGGCCUUUCUUUUCGUAAGCCAAUUAUUGGCCCACAGUACUGCCAUGGCCUUCUUAUUCGUGGCCGAUUGAAGCACGGUCGUCGGCGCCAUUAUGCUUCCCACGUUCGCAAUGAGCCUUAAUGACCCGCAUUUCGCACGCAUCCACCAAGCAAUUCAGACUACACUUUCGGGACCCGAGUUGGACCCUUACCGUAACCUAUGACCGCUGGAUCUCACGCCAUCUCCCACCGCCUUAAGGGCCACAUCGUCACUUUACGCAUCUAUAGCCCUCCUUGUAGGCACCGCUUCCGCCGGUGGACCUGGUCGUGACUGUGACUCCGUGCUUUCGCACCCCUCGUUUGUCCUAAUCUAUGGGACCAUCAGGUGCGGGAUUUGCUACGCUUGACCUUCAACCCACGUUGAACCGUGAGUCAAAGCUUCGAUUGCGCAAUUCAAGCGGCGGACCCUUCAUGCCAGCGUUCUGACUUUGAGUUUCCUUAACUGCCCCCGGGCGUGUUCGCCACCUCAUACACCAAAUUAAGCUACGUUGCGCUUCUUGGAAUGGACCGGAACUGUACAGCUCUUGAAAGGUCUCUACCUAACCACGGAAGCCCUUGAGCUUGUGUCCACGACGUACCGACAGCAGUCGAGCACAGCACUCUACAACCCAAUUCAGGGCGUUGCUCGCGUUGGGAACAGGAAUCAACGGUCGUGCAUUACCACCCUUGAGAUUCCUCUGGCGGCCACUGUUUGGCCUCCUUCCACCCCUACUGCAGUUCAGUAGUACCGGGAAUGCCGGUCCCGAUGUGUGCAUGAUGUUACCACCCCUGUCUCCCGACGUUUGGGCGCUCCCGCUCGGUUAGGGUCUUUGGGGUAGAGUCAGGCCUAACCUCAGACGUUGAGCUGAGGUACUUCAGCCUUAGCGAUCAUUAGCGUCUAGUCGUAACGACGCCACUUAUGCAAGGGCCCGGAACAUGUGUGGCGGGCAGUGUGGUACCCUCAAACAACGUGGUCUUCGUCCAUCGAAUUGGC